UACAGAGGUCUCAAGCGUUUGUUCGGAUUCAUUGGGCGUAAAGGGUGCGUAGGCGGCGCGGUAAGUCGGGUGUGAAAUCUCGGAGCUUAACUCCGAAACUGCAUUCGAUACUGCGGUGCUUGAGGACUGGGAGAGGAGACUGGAAUUCAUGGUGUAGCAGUGAAAUGCGUAGAGAUCAUGAGGAAGACCAGUGGCGAAGGCGGGUCUCUGGACAGUUCCUGACACUGAGACACGGAAGGCCAGGGGAGCAAACGGG
rnacentral:rRNA from 1 species